rnacentral:rRNA from 1 species
AGAACGAACGCUGGCGGCAGGCCUAAUACAUGCAAGUCGAACGCACUCUUCGGAGUGAGUGGCAGACGGGUGAGUAACGCGUGGAAACCUUCCCAAUAGUACGGAAUAACUCCGGGAAACCGGUGCUAAUACCGUAUAAGCCCUUCGGGGGAAAGAUUUAUCGCUAUUGGAUGGGUCCGCGUCGGAUUAGCUUGUUGGUAGGGUAAUGGCCUACCAAGGCGACGAUCCGUAGCUGGUCUGAGAGGAUGAUCAGCCACACUGGGACUGAGACACGGCCCAGACUCCUACGGGAGGCAGCAGUGGGGAAUAUUGCACAAUGGGCGAAAGCCUGAUGCAGCGAUGCCGCGUGCGGGAAGAAGGCCUUAGGGUUGUAAACCGCUUUCAGCAGGGAAGAAAAUGACGGUACCUGCAGAAGAAGGUGCGGCAACUACGUGCCAGCAGCCGC